AUGGCUUAGUGGAAAAAGCCUGACCUGGGGAGUCAGAGGUCGUGGGUUCUAAUCCCAGCU
rfam:Ornithorhynchus anatinus chromosome 3, whole genome shotgun sequence.